GAGAAUGUAACUGUUGCGCCUUGUGCUCCAUUGAUCCGGCGUUCGUUUUGAUCAUCACAUUGUUCGGUGAUCUCAAUUCUGACGGUCUGCUCUUCGCCGUGUUCUUUUCAGGUUUUGGAUCAUGCAAGUUCCUGGCAUCUGAGACUUCUGCAGCAGCUUCCUCGGCGAUGUUGGGAAGGGCGUGGACGGCCAUGGUCGCUGCAUCUCUGAUCGCGCUUCGGCUGAUAGUUUAGGAAUUCUCCAUUCGUGAUGUAGACACGGUCUGAUCAGGCACUGGAUGCGUAAAAGAAAUGUGAGUACAUCCUAAAAAAAAAAGAAAUGUGAGUGAUGAAAUGUCAGUGUUAUGGUGGUUUCCCUUCUGGUGCUA